GCGGGAUUAGCUCAUUUGGUAGAGCGAGUCAUUGACGUUGACUAGGUGGCAGGUUCGAAUCCUGCAUCCCGCA
rnacentral:tRNA from 1 species